AAACUUGGAGGCUUUAAUUUAACGACAAAUAAAAUAAUUAGACAGGCACCCAAAAAAAUUAAUUAGACGGUGUCGCUUUGGCACUGAAAGACCGAAAGGAACUGGUUAGAAAGAAGCUCCUCCGUCGACCAAGAAACAAACAUGCACCAAGAGAGCUCUCACCCGCAAUGAGAGCAUGAUGCGCACGUUAGCAGCAGCCCAGCUGAAGAAUGAAUGUAAUGCUGCCUUGAAAUGUUCAGUCAAAUCAAACAAUUCUAUUGGUUAAGUAUUGUUGCUCUUUCAUUUUUUUUUCCUUUCUUUGGAGCAGUAUUUGUGUCGUUUUAAUCCUCGAAAUGUUCGUUCUCGCAAUUUCUCAUCAUCUUCAUCACCAUCAUUCAGUAAAAGAGGUCUCCUCUCUCCCUCUCUUUCUCGGUUUUGUUAUUGUUAAUUACAAGUAUUAUGUUAAACCCAGCUCAUCAUCUCCAUCACCAUCAUUCUUUGGGUAUAAAUUACGAGCUGCUUGUAUUAUGUUGACGUGGGUUGCGAUCACGGAGCUUUGUUCUUCUCUGAUCAUAGCAUUUGAUGAUGGAUUCGUUUUUAUCUGUAAAUUUAUUGUUGACAGAUUGCACCUCUUCUGAAUCAUAUAUUCUUAGGCCCCUUUUCUCCUAGUUGUAAUUGUGUUUUUUUUGCUGUUUUUGUGAUUUUAGAACUGAUGACCCAUAGUUAAGUAAAUGAACUAUUGAAUAUCAGGUUUAGAUUGAAAUUAGCUUGGCGUAAGAGGUGUUGAAGAUUUUUUCUAUCUUUCUUUUUUUAUUCAUACGCAAAUCACAGUGUAAGGUCUGCUGCUGCUGCUUCUUCUUGAUUUCUAGUUGAAAGAAGGAUGAGAAUAGUGGAGAUGGGUGGGGCUCAACUGCUCAAGAGUUGUUCAACAUGUAAGGAGCUGCUAAAGAUGACCACACCAGGAAAGCGGAUUUGAAAGCUCUAGCUGCCCUCUCACAACCAGAUGAAGCUGUCAGGGCUUUACACCAUGCAGGGGAGAUCCCGGUGAUUAAUUCUAUCCCAGAUUCCUCUGAUAAAGCAGAAAUUGAGAGAUGCAAGGCUAGCUUGCUGAAGAGAUUCCAGGAUCUGAGAUAUGAUAAUUCGUCUUAAGUAAUCGGUUCAGGGCAUAACCCUUUCCAAUGCAGGCUUGAAGUACAGUCAGGUCAGAAAGUCAUCUGACAUCUUGGAGAGAUUAGGCCUCACAAGUAAUGAAAAUACAGUGCAUCUCUUUUGAAUGUAAUUUGAACCAAAAUUUCCCCAUUGAUACUCAUGUUUUUAAUGCUAUGAAUCGCAGGGGUUUGUAUACCAUGAGCUCUUGGAAUGGAUAUGUAAUAGUUGUCCUGCGCAGUUAUAACUGUGCUCGUAAGGCUGUGUUUACAUUGAGUAGCUUAGUUUGUGACCCUGAUGGUUUGCCAAGCAAUUUUUGUGUGUUGACUGUUCCAUCAUCAUCCAUGUGCUCGCCUGAAAUGGAUGUGUUUGUUGGUGCUGGAGUGGAUGGAUGGAUGUGGACUGCUGCUCAGUUGGACCUUGAUUCUAUGGAGAGUUUAUUGAAGAUGCUUAAAACAAUUUCGGCUAUUUGAAUGGUGAAUCACAAAUUCUCCAUGGAGAUGACUUCAGUGUGAAAGUUUAUCCAGGAGUGGACUAUGCCCUCAUUGUGGCAUUGAUUGUAGUCCUCAAUGAGGAAGACACGGUUUGAUUGUCUCUUGUGAAGUCAUUUCUUACCUGUACAUCAUCACAUACAUCUAUAGCAAGUGGCCAAGUGGUUUGUUUAGUUUUUAAUGCUUGUGAUUCAUGUUUGUUCGCUAUAUUCCUUGUUUAGACGCAACGCCACGGUGAUUUAAAUACGUUGUUAUGUGAUUCUAAUUUUUUUAUACUGCAUAUGUGAUUGUAUUUACUAAUGAUUUCUACUAGGACUCUUCGCAAGAGAGAAUCUGAUGCCAGUUCAAUAUACAAAAUUACAACCUGAACUUUCAGAGAAGCUGCUGUUGAAUUGUAAGGACACACUGCGAGUAUGAAGAAAACAUAUACAAUACAAGCACCUCGACUAGAAAAACACCGGAAAGGGGGGCGGCUAUUACUGUUACUUGUUUCUUACCAAACUAUAGAUGUUUGUUGACAAGGCAAUUGUGCUUGUUGCUACAGCUAGAAUUAUCAUCACUGCUGCCACGAUCUUAUCUCGUGUCGUUGAUAUACUGUGAACAUCCCUGUAAUUCAUGAGAAGACAAAAGGAAUUAUAUUGUGCAGGACUGUCAAAUUUAUACUGCAAAAUAUCAAUUCCGGAAGGACAGAGCAGUACCUUAACACAAUAGCACCUGGGAAGAUGAAGGCGAGACACACUGCUGAUGUUGAUCCCAUGAACUGAAAGAAGUACCAUAUAUUUGGGAUUGCAAUUGCUGCCAGGUAAGCGAAAACUAGUAAUGCAAGAGUGAGGGACACAAAUCGGAUGGAAUCUGUCGCUAAAAGAGGCUUCUUAGGGAAAAGAAGUUCAUCAAUGUUUGCCCUCAA